rnacentral:tRNA from 2 species
GCUUGGCUAGUUCAGUUGGUAGAACGGUAGACUGUUAAUCUAUGUGUCGGGGGUUCAAAUCCCUCGCCAAGCGCCA